GAUGAACGCUAGCGGCAGGCUUAACACAUGCAAGUCGAGGGGCAGCAUAAUGGAUAGCAAUAUCUAUGGUGGCGACCGGCGCACGGGUGCGUAACGCGUAUGCAACCUACCUUUAACAGGGGGAUAACACUGAGAAAUUGGUACUAAUACCCCAUAAUAUCAUAGAAGGCAUCUUUAUGGUUGAAAAUUCCGAUGGUUAGAGAUGGGCAUGCGUUGUAUUAGCUAGUUGGUGAGGUAACGGCUCACCAAGGCGACGAUACAUAGGGGGACUGAGAGGUUAACCCCCACACUGGUACUGAGACACGGACCAGAUCCUACGGGAGGCAGCAGUGAGGAAUAAUUGG
rnacentral:rRNA from 1 species